rnacentral:tRNA from 5 species
GGAGGAGUGGCAGAGUGGUCGAUUGCAGCGGUCUUGAAAACCGCCGUGCGUGAGAGCGUACCGUGGGUUCGAAUCCCACCUCCUCCGCCA